rnacentral:rRNA from 1 species
GAGUUUGAUCGUGGCUCAGGAUGAACGCUGGCGGCGUGCCUAAUACAUGCAAGUCGAGCGAACGGACGAGAAGCUUGCUUCUCUGAUGUUAGCGGCGGACGGGUGAGUAACACGUGGGUAACCUACCUAUAAGACUGGGAUAACUCCGGGAAACCGGGGCUAAUACCGGAUAACACAUGAAACCGCAUGGUUUCAUGAUGAAAGACGGUCUUGCUGUCACUUAUAGAUGGAUCCGCGCUGCAUUAGCUAGUUGGUAAGGUAACGGCUUACCAAGGCAACGAUGCAUAGCCGACCUGAGAGGGUGAUCGGCCACACUGGAACUGAGACACGGUCCAGACUCCUACGGGAGGCAGCAGUAGGGAAUCUUCCGCAAUGGGCGAAAGCCUGACGGAGCAACGCCGCGUGAGUGAUGAGGUCUUCGGAUCGUAAAACUCUGUUAUUAGGGAAGAACAUAUGUGUAAGUAACUGUGCACAUCUUGACGGUACCAAUCAGAAAGCCACGGCUAACUACG